GCCGAAGUGGUGGAACUGGUAGACACGCUGUGUUGAGGGCGCAGUGGGCUAAGCCCGUGCGAGUUCGAUUCUCGCCUUCGGCACCA
rnacentral:tRNA from 1 species